rnacentral:rRNA from 1 species
AGAGUUUGAUCAUGGCUCAGAACGAACGCUGGCGGCAUGCCUAACACAUGCAAGUCGAACGUGAUCCAGGCUUCGGCCUGGUGAAAGUGGCAGACAGGUGAGUAACGCGUGGGAACCUGCCCUGUGGUAGGGAAUAACCGUGGGAAACUGCGGCUAGUACCCUAUGAGUCCUUCGGGAGAAAGAUUUAUCGCCAUAGGAGGGGCCCGCGUCGGAUUAGGUAGUUGGUGGGGUAACGGCCUACCAAGCCUUCGAUCCGUAGCUGGUCUGAGAGGAUGAUCAGCCACACUGGGACUGAGAUACGGCCCAGACUCCUACGGGAGGCAGCAGUGGGGAAUAUUGGACAAUGGGGGCAACCCUGAUCCAGCAAUGCCGCGUGGAUGAUGAAGGCCUUCGGGUUGUAAAGUCCUUUCGGCGGGGAAGAUGAUGACGGUACCCGCAGAAGAAGCCCCGGCUAACUUCGUGCCAGCAGCCGCGGUAAUACGAAGGGGGCUAGCGUUGUUCGGAAUUACUGGGCGUAAAGGGCGCGUAGGCUGUGCUGUAAGUCAGGCGUGAAAGCCCCGGGCUCAACCUGGGAAUUGCGCUUGAUACUGCGGCGCUGGAAGGUGGGAGAGGAUGGCGGAAUUCCCAGUGUAGAGGUGAAAUUCGUAGAUAUUGGGAAGAACACCGGUGGCGAAGGCGGCCAUCUGGCCCACAAUUGACGCUGAGGCGCGAAAGCGUGGGGAGCAAACAGGAUUAGAUACCCUAGUAGUCC